AAUUAAGAUUCUAAUACAUAUAAGUUUAAGCUUCACAUUUGCACACAUAUUAGGAGCAGCUUCCUGGUUUCUUUAUUUUUUCAGGGGUUUGAUUAAGGUGCACAUAAUCUAGAACGAACUCGAGUUCGAAGAAGAAACGUAGUAUGGGGGGAGGACCGAGGAUUGUUCAUGAAAAAUUAAGGGGACCUAAUCUGGUGAAGGAAAUUGCAGUGGCAGCUACCAUGGGAUUAGUCAUAGCUUCUUUCUGGAAAUAUAAACACUGGGAAAUGAAGAAUACUAGACGACAAUUCUACGACAUGCUUGAUAGAGGUGAAGUUAGUGUGGUUAUUGAUGAGUAAUCUUGUAGCUAGUUCUUGUUAAUUGUGCAUGUAUGCUACUAAAUGCUGGUCAUAUAUGUACAUGAAAUAAGAUUGCAGGUUUGGUUUUGGCCUUUUGAUUGUGAUUCGUUUGACAAACUCUUGAAUAAUAGUAAUAUUUUGUUGGAGUUUCUGAUUCA